rnacentral:rRNA from 1 species
GCGUAGGUAGGACGGGCUGGACCUCUCGGGGUUACAGCCUUGCUGAAUUAUUCACCCUUGUCUUUUGCGUACUUCUUGUUUCCUUGGUGGGUUCGCCCACCACUAGGACAAACAUAAACCUUUUGUAAUUGCAAUCAGCGUCAGUAACAAAUUAAUAAUUACAACUUUCAACAACGGAUCUCUUGGUUCUGGCAUCGAUGAAGAACGCAGCGAAAUGCGAUAAGUAGUGUGAAUUGCAGAAUUCAGUGAAUCAUCGAAUCUUUGAACGCACAUUGCGCCCUUUGGUAUUCCAAAGGGCAUGCCUGUUCGAGCGUCAUUUGUACCCUCAAGCUUUGCUUGGUGUUGGGCGUCUUGUCUCUAGCUUUGCUGGAGACUCGCCUUAAAGUAAUUGGCAGCCGGCCUACUGGUUUCGGAGCGCAGCACAAGUCGCACUCUCUAUCAGCAAAGGUCUAGCAUCCAUUAAGCCUUUUUUUCAACUUUUGACCUCGGAUCAGGUAGGGAUACCCGCUGAACUUAAGCAUAUCAAAAGGCGGGAGGA